rnacentral:rRNA from 1 species
GAUGAACGCUGGCGGCGUGCCUAAUACAUGCAAGUCGAGCGAACGGACGAGAAGCUUGCUUCUCUGAUGUUAGCGGCGGACGGGUGAGUAACACGUGGAUAACCUACCUAUAAGACUGGGAUAACUUCGGGAAACCGGAGCUAAUACCGGAGAAUAUUAUGAACCGCAUGGUUCAAAAGUGAAAGACGGUCUUGCUGUCACUUAUAGAUGGAUCCGCGCUGCAUUAGCUAGUUGGUAAGGUAACGGCUUACCAAGGCAACGAUGCAUAGCCGACCUGAGAGGCUGAUCGGCCACCCUGGAACUGAGCCACGGUCCAGACUCCUACGGGAGGCAGCAGUAGGGAAUCUUCCGCAAUGGGCGAAAGCCUGACGGAGCAACGCCGCGUGAGUGAUGAAGGUCUUCGGAUCGUAAAACUCUGUUAUUAGGGAAGAACAUAUGUGUAAGUAACUGUGCACAUCUUGACGGUACCUAAUCAGAAAGCCACGGCUAACUACGUG